AUUGAACGCUGGCGGCAGGCCUAACACAUGCAAGUCGAGCGAGCGGCGGACGGGUGAGUAAUGUAUGGGGACUGCCCGAUAGAGGGGGAUAAAUACUGGAAACGGUGGCUAAUACCGCAUACUAUCGGAUAACCCAUAUGGGAUUAGCUCGUAGGUGGGGUAAAGGCUCACCUAGGCGACGAUCCCUAGCUGGUCUGAGAGGAUGAUCAGCCACACUGGGACUGAGACACGGCCCAGACUCCUACGGAGGCAGCAGUGGGGAAUAUUGCACAAUGGGCGCAAGCCGGAUGCAGCCAUGCCUCGUGAAUGAAGAAGGCCUUCGGGUGGUAAAGUUCUUUCGGUAGCGAGGCGUUACCGACAGAUGAAGCACCGGCUAACUCCGUGCCAGCAGCCGCGGUAAUAC
rnacentral:rRNA from 1 species